rnacentral:rRNA from 1 species
CGCAUCUGUGCAUGCAGCAUAUCAAUAAGCGGAGGAAAAGAAACUAACAAGGAUCCCCCUAGUAACGGCGAGUGAAGCGGGAAGAGCUCAAAUUUGAAAUCUUAAAGGGUUUCCCUUUACGAAUUGUAGUUUAAAGAAGUGUUUUCUGUUGAGGUUUUGGUAAAAGUUCUUUGGAAUAGGACAUCAUAGAGGGUGAGAAUCCCGUAUUUGACCUUUACUUUCAACUUUGUGAUACACUUUCAAAGAGUCGGAUUGUUUGGGAAUGCAGUCCAAAAUGGGUGGUAAAUUUCAUCUAAAGCUAAAUAUUGGCGAGAGACCGAUAGCGAACAAGUACCGUGAGGGAAAGAUGAAAAGAACUUUGAAAAGAGAGUUAAACAGUACGUGAAAUUGUCAAAAGGGAAGCGUUUGACACCAGUGUUGUUUUUCUGAAAAUCAAUUAAAGAACUGUUUAUGCUAAGCUGUUUAGACUUUAUCAGCUAUCUGUUUAGUUUUGAGCUUUUCUUUAAUGCACUUUUCAGUUAACAAGUCAACAUCAAUUUCUUUUGCUGUAAAAAAGCUUGAGGAAGGUGGCUUGAGAUUCGUCUUAAGUGUUUAUAGCCUCUUGCCUAUGCAGUCGGAGAGAUUGAGGUCUGCAGCGUAGAUCCUUCGGGGCUAAAUGCAUUUGUGCUAAGUUAUAGCAUUUUAUAGACAACUUGUUGACUAUGAUUUGUCUUGUAGCUUACUCGCUUAUGUUAUUUUACCUACGCUUAGGAUGUUGAGUCGUAGAGCACGCAG